rnacentral:lncRNA from 1 species
GAUUAUAUAAUGGUAAUAUGUUUAUCUAAAAGCAGAGAGAUUUUGUGGCAUUGCAGAGAGCAAAUAAGCGGAAUGGAAAAAUAGAUGACUCUGGCAAGGUAUAGCCUAGAAUAGAUGCUAUUAUACCAUGCCUGAUGCAUGAUUGUUGCAGCCUCUUCAAUUGAAUGAACAAUGACAAAAGUUACAAAGACAACUACAAUCCUACAGCAUCGAAAGUGUUAAAAGAAGACAAUUGCUUACCAUUUGCUGGCAAAUAUGGUGGAUCUUGCUUAAAAGUACUUGAUACCUUUUUCAUGGGAAACCUCAUUUCGCAUUCUUCUGCCAUUUUGAUUUACUUUUAUCAAAGUGUCAACCAUUUUUUUAGUCUGUAGACUGACAAAUUCAGGAUGAGUUUACUUCCAAGCAUUGACACAACAUACAUCUCCAUGUAAAGUCUUAAUUAACAUCAAUCCAUUUUAUGUAGGAGUCGAUUUUUAAUUUUUGCUUGACAAACGGAUAAGUUGAAUGGUUAAGUAUGGUUGUUGCCCAGCAGAUUCAAACAUCAUAGUUUUGGUCGCACCUAUUGCCCCUCAAAAUUUUGAGGGGCAAUAGACUUUUCCUAUAGUUUUUAUUAACAUUUACUAGACAGAAAAAAAUGUGUUGGUGAAUGUCGUCAAGAAUGCAGAUGAUUUAGUUAAUUUACUGUGGUAUCAACCUAAUCAAAAUCUUCAUAUGUGAAGUGCUUUCAGACUUCAUUGGUGCUGAAUUUUUGAGUAUAUUAUCACCAGAAUGUCAUACAAAAUAACUUGGGCAGAUACCUUUGGACAAUGGUUACACCAAGGGCAGUGAAUGCAUUUCUCUUUUCACCAUUGGUCAGCUGACUUGCCUUCCCAGUUGCAAUGAAGAAGAAUGAUUAGUCAAAAGUAUUAAAAGGCUGUAGGCCGUACUGAUCAAAACAAAUUUAAACAAACGAUCAUUUUUUAAACAAUCAUAAAGGAAACAAGCAACAGUUAUGGUUCGUUUGGUUGGAGCCCUUUGUCAACAAAGGGAGAGAGGACCAAGUCAAACGUAUCCGAAAGGUACGGGGUUACAAGAUGGAAGCUUAGCCACGGUUUAUUGUCAAACAAAUAGACACGGCUGUCGGAGCCCUUUGUGCGCAGGGCAUUUGACGAACCGGGCACUCAAAUGACGCUAAAGACUUUUCACUUUGCUGGUGUGGCACCGAUGAACAUCACACAGGAACUUUCUGGAUUAAGGAAAUCAUUAACGCCCUAAAGGCCUUUAGUACACCUGUUAUCUCCACCCAGCUUCUAAUUGUUGACGACCAGGAAUAUGCGCGACAAGUUAAAGGAAGGGUCGAAAACAAUUUUCGGAGAAAUAAAUUAAACAAUUUUUCGUUAUCAUUAUUUUUCAAUUGUCUUUUUAUGUGACGGGAUAUUUCGAUGAAGUAUAACUGCCUGAUGAUGUUUAAUGUCGAUUAAAUUAGACAUUAACCGAAUCCGCUUGCUAAAACUCGAGGUGGCUGCAAAUUCUAUCCAGUAGAGCCUCUGUAUACAUGUAAACUGAAAAUAAAACCUGCUUUCAUCGAAGUCAUUAGUGAAACAAUACAAAUUGUAAAGCUGUGCUCCAUCUGCAAAAUCGUCAAUGUAUCUGUGAGGCAGUACCUCAAAGAACAAUUGCCUAGGGACUUCAUACAGGGUUUGCCAACUGCUAGCCGAGCUGUCAUCAACAUCGACGAUACAAGGAAACCGCAUAGAUAGUGUGUUUAUCUGUUAACUGCUUCAAAUUGGCUCAGAAUUAGGCAGCAAUUUUGAAAGUUGUUGCUUUCUCAGUAUGAAUGAGCUUCAAUGUUGGUGUUGCAGGUGUUACCCAUGUUACGUUGACUGUUUGGAUUCCUAUUCAUUAACAUUUCAAAACCAAAUUCAUCUUCUUAAAAUUGACUUGAAAGGAUUUGGAUCAUUCUAGGAACAUAUCUAUCAAAGAUGGAAAGCUCUAAUGGGAUUAAUUUAUCCGUCAAGUACGUUUUCAUUUGCAGUCUGUAUGUCCUUUCCGAAGGCUCUGCCAGAAGAAUAUGCUAAAUAAUGAAUUUAUGAAUCGCGUAAGUUACACGAGCAAGAAUUUUUAUGCCUAACGAUGUUUUAUUUUCUUAAUAUAGAUUAAUGAUAAACUUGGAUCUGAAAAGGUUCCUUGGUUGGGGCGAGAUACCGAAUAAAGUUUAAUGAUUGGAUGCACUA